CUUGUGGCAUGGACUCUUUGGCGCCACCGUAAUGCGGUCACCUUCGACAAGAUCGCCCCAUCUACCCUGACUGUGGUCACCACUAUUAAAGACGACGCUCACUCCUGGGCCACUGCCAGAGCCAAAGGGCUUAGCGCUUUUAUCCUUGUAACCUGA
rnacentral:rRNA from 1 species